rnacentral:rRNA from 1 species
AUGCAUCUUGAACCAUGUAGCAUAACAUCCCUAGGUGGUAUUAAUCCCACAUUUAGGGCUGAUAUGGAUGUGGUUCAUAUAGAUGAGAAAUGGUUUUAUCGCACGCGGAAGACCCAGAACAUGUAUUUGAGUCAUAGAGAGGAGGCACCACACCGGGAAUGUAAAAAUAAAAGCCACAUUCCGAAAAUUAUGUUCUUGUCCGCAAUGGCUAGACCAAGGUAUGAUGCUCAAGGCAAUUGUGUGUUUGAUGGCAAGAUAGGGGUUUGGGCUUACACAGAGUGGGUGCAAGCUAAAAAGAGAAGUCAGAAUAGGUUGAGGGGGGCAUGGGAGUUGAAGCCUGCAGAUACAGUGGACAGGGAGAAAAGUCGGGAGUACUUAGUGAAAUACGUACUGCCGGCUAUAAAGGAGAAGUGGCCUGAGAGCGAUAGAUGGAAUACCAUCUACGUACAGCAGGACAAUGCUAAGACUCAUAUAAAACCAGAUGAUCCACUUUUUUUGCAGGAAGCUGCUAGGGGUGGUUGGGAUAUUAGGAUGAUAUACCAACCACCUAAUUCUCCUGACACAAACAUAUUAGAUCUUGGUUGGUUUGCCUCAAUUCAAGCAAUGUUUCAUAGAAAGAUGCCCAAGACCCUACUCGAGAUUGUCCAAAAGGUUAAUCAAUCCCUAGCUGAGUACCCCCAUCAAAGGCUCAAUAGGAUCUGGUUGAGUCAUCAAGCGUGCAUGAGAGAGAUCAUCAAGCACAAGGGGUCUAUCCACUAUGCUGUUCCUCACUUGAAGAAAAAAGCACUAGAGAGACAAGGUCUUCUCCAGGUUCGUUUGACGAUUGACAGAGAAUAUGUCGAGCAGGCAAUUCAGUACUUGAACUCAACAUGA